UCUCGGGUGACGAGUGGCGGACGGGUGAGUAAUGUCUGGGGAUCUGCCCGAUAGAGGGGGAUAACCACUGGAAACGGUGGCUAAUACCGCAUAACGUCGCAAGACCAAAGAGGGGGACCUUCGGGCCUCUCACUAUCGGAUGAACCCAGAUGGGAUUAGCUAGUAGGCGGGGUAACGGCCCACCUAGGCGACGAUCCCUAGCUGGUCUGAGAGGAUGACCAGCCACACUGGAACUGAGACACGGUCCAGACUCCUACGGGAGGCAGCAGUGGGGAAUAUUGCACAAUGGGCGCAAGCCUGAUGCAGCCAUGCCGCGUGUAUGAAGAAGGCCUUCGGGUUGUAAAGUACUUUCAGCGGGGAGGAAGGCGAUGUGGUUAAUAMCCGCAUUGAUUGACGUUACCCGCAGAAGAAGCACCGGCUAACUCCGUGCCAGCAGCCGCGGUAAUACGGAGGGUGCAAGCGUUAAUCGGAAUUACUGGGCGUAAAGCGCACGCAGGCGGUCUGUUAAGUCAGAUGUGAAAUCCCCGGGCUUAACCUGGGARCUGCAUUUGAAACUGGCAGGCUUGAGUCUCGUAGAGGGGGGUAGAAUUCCAGGUGUACGCUUAGAAAUG
rnacentral:rRNA from 1 species